ensembl:snRNA U6 U6 spliceosomal RNA
UUGCUAAAGCAGCACAUAUACUAAAAUUGAAAUGAUACAGAGAAGAUCAGCAUGGCCCCAGCGCAAGGUUUGUGAAGCAUUCCAUAUGUUU